rnacentral:rRNA from 1 species
UGGCGGCAUGCUUUACACAUGCAAGUCGAACGGCAGCGCGGGGGCAACCCUGGCGGCGAGUGGCGAACGGGUGAGUAAUAUAUCGGAACGUACCCAGGAGUGGGGGAUAACGUAGCGAAAGUUACGCUAAUACCGCAUACGACCCAAGGGUGAAAGUGGGGGAUCGCAAGACCUCAUGCUCAUGGAGCGGCCGAUAUCUGAUUAGCUAGUUGGUAGGGUAAAGGCCUACCAAGGCAUCGAUCAGUAGCUGGUCUGAGAGGACGACCAGCCACACUGGAACUGAGACACGGUCCAGACUCCUACGGGAGGCAGUAGUGGGGAAUUUUGGACAAUGGGCGCAAGCCUGAUCCAGCGAUGCCGCGUGAGUGAAGAAGGCCUUCGGGUUGUAAAGCUCUUUUGUCAGGGAAGAAACGAUCCACUCUAAUACAGUGGGUUAAUGACGGUACCUGAAGAAUAAGCACCGGCUAACUACGUGCCAGCAGCCGCGGUAAUACGUAGGGUGCAAGCGUUAAUCGGAAUUACUGGGCGUAAAGCGUGCGCAGGCGGUUUUAUAAGUCUGUCGUGAAAUCCCCGGGCUCAACCUGGGAAUGGCGAUGGAGACUGUAAGGCUAGAGUUUGGCAGAGGGGGGUAGAAUUCCACGUGUAGCAGUGAAAUGCGUAGAGAUGUGGAGGAACACCGAUGGCGAAGGCAGCCCCCUGGGUCAAAACUGACGCUCAUGCACGAAA